rnacentral:tRNA from 1 species
GACCACGUAGCUCAAUUGGCAGAGCAUUGGGCUAGUAUUCCAAAGGUCGUAGGUUCGAUUCCCACCGUGGCCG